AUUGAACGCUGGCGGCAGGCCUACACAUGCAAGUCGAGCGGAUGAGUGGAGCUUGCUCCAUGAUUCAGCGGCGGACGGGUGAGUAAUGCCUAGGAAUCUGCCUGGUAGUGGGGGACAACGGUUCGAAAGGAACGCUAAUACCGCAUACGUCCUACGGGAGAAAGGGGGGGAUCUUCGGACCUCACGCUAUCAGAUGAGCCUAGGUCGGAUUAGCUAGUUGGUGAGGUAAAGGCUCACCAAGGCGACGAUCCGUAACUGGUCUGAGAGGAUGAUCAGUCACACUGGAACUGAGACACGGUCCAGACUCCUACGGGAGGCAGCAGUGGGGAAUAUUGGACAAUGGGCGAAAGCCUGAUCCAGCCAUGCCGCGUGUGUGAAGAAGGUCUUCGGAUUGUAAAGCACUUUAAGUUGGGAGGAAGGGCAGUAAGUUAAUACCUUGCUGUUUUGACGUUACCAACAGAAUAAGCACCGGCUAACUUCGUGCCAGCCGCCGCGGUAAAAC
rnacentral:rRNA from 1 species